UCUGCAUGCGCUGACAGGGUCAUUUGAGAAUCCUGCGAAACUCUUUUGAUAAAAAGCUCUCGCAGGACAUUCGCGAAAAUACAUUGGCGCGAUAAGGGUCAUUCAGUAUCAACUGAAUGUUAAAUAAUAAUUGUUAUAACUAAGAAAAUGAGAAAUAUAUUUUUUCUAUUAAUUGUUACCACAAUAUUGACGUUAGGUAAGCAGUGCUGUGAAAAUUGUCUAUAAUAUUGUCUAUAUAAUCUGCAUAACGGGAAAAACAAUAAAAUGUUACAAUUGUAUUGUUGAUUCACCUGAAAAUAAUCGAACAUCAUUCAGCAAUUCAAUAACAUUAUUUGUUGGUGUAACAAUACCUGAUGAAUAUUGUAAUACUUCGUUGGAAUUAAGUAAAUAUCCCACAUGUUCAACUCAUCGUUACUGUAUUAAAAGUGUCGUUGAGGUAACACAUGGAGAAAUCGUUAUACAUUUAUGUCAAGAAAAUUCUGAAUUACCCCAUUUAACGCCCAAUGAACCAAAGAUUUUUAAACACAGCCAGUUUAAAUACACUAUUUAUCCAUGUGACACUAAUUUAUGCAAUACUGCUUCCAAAAUUAUCACUAAUACGUCCAUUAUGCGAUAUUUAUUACUCAUUCUAUUAUUUUACAUAUAAAAAAAUAAUUAAAAAUUCUUUUUUACUUAAUUAACGCAUCUCUUCUUGCUUCUCGGAUAAAUAAAAUUAAAAAUAAAUUAUUCUUCUUAUAAACAAAAAAAAAAUAAAAAUCAUUACAUAUCUAACUAAUAAGAAUUAAAAUAAUAGUAAUAUAAAAAAAAUUUUAUUAAAUGCAACGAAUAUUAUGAUUAUUAUUGCUUUAUAUAUUUACUCAUGUAUGGAGUUAUUCCACGAUAAUUUUUGAAUUUUAAAUAAUUUUUCAUUGCAAUUCUUAUUUAUAACAGUACCAGUUAUAAAAUAUUUUUUUUUUUAUAGUAUAUUUAAUAAACCAAUGCAGUUUGUUUAUUUGAAGGAAACAUAAAAAAAAAAAAUUAUCGUGGAAUCAAUCUUGGCUUAAAAUUUAUAAAUAACAUUAUUGAAGCACGGCAAUUUUAUAACUAUAUAUAUAUAUAUAAAUAUAUUUAAGUACAAAGUAAGAUAUAUGCAAACCACACUGCCUAUACGUCGUUAUUAACAGCAAAACUCCAUUGUAAAAAAAAAUUUAUAAAGAAAAUAUUGUUGCAGAGUUAUAUAAGACAAUUUAUUAUAAAGAAAAGUUAUAGAAAAAUAUUAUUUAGAAUUUAAAUAAAAAAAAGCUACACGUUAUUCAAAUAAUCAUAAAUGCUAAAAAAAAAAACAUGAGCGAUUCACUUUUCGCACUCGAUAUAUGCAAUAUUUUAUAAAUUAUAAAUAAAUUGAAAUUUGUUAUAAAUAAAUACGUUUUUAAUGCUACAA